CCCUCAAUUUGCAGAUACCAGCUACGCACGAAACAAGGAUAAUGGCCAGUGGUACUAUUUCGACGACAGUAAGGUUACGUAUGCCAGGGAAGAUCAAAUUGUGACCAAUGCUGCCUACCUCCUGUUCUACCAGCGCCAGGACAAGAUCCGGCCGCCCACCUUGCCCUCGCCCUGCGCCAGCAGCUCCACAGCCGUGUCCCCCGCUGAUGAGGUCACUUCCUCGAGCCAGGAGGAGCUGGACGGGACCACUUCCUUUGUCAACAUGGAGACAGACUAAGACCACUUAGCUUGCUUUUGAGGCUUGGCAGGGGUGGUUUUGAUUUUGAUAUGUUUUUUUUUUUUUUUUAAUUUUUGUAUUUUAUUCUAAAACUUGAACCUGCUGCCUCCUCCCUGCACUGUACUGGGUGGGAGGGGGUGGGGGCAUAUUUCUCAGGCUGGUGCAUGAGCAUGGAGGCAAGUGAAACUGAACCCAUGUUGGCUCAGAGGAAGGAGGGCUGUGGUAAGUGUUGCCGCAGUACAGAUGGAGCCAACAUGGCUGACGCAGGGAUAACAGUUUCAUGACCUUCUCUGCUCUGUCCAAAAUCUUUUGGCUCUUGUGCAGCCAGGAUCAGGAUAAACCUGACGAUCCAACAAGGAGAGUAAUGGGAGUGAGAUCACGGAUCAUAGACUCCGCCUGCUACUGCCUUCCACCUCUGUAUUCUGUGCAGGACAAGUCUUACUCUUUAAAAUGGGUCUGGGCACCAACUCCUAAACUCAUCCGCCAUGUUGGAUCUAACAGGUUAGACACGGAGAGAAUGAAUCGGCAACAGAAGAUCUAGCACAAGGAAGCCCAAUGCUCCAUCUGUCUUUUUAAAAUACAGGGGCUGAAGCAGACAGCCACACCAAAGGCCUUUAUGUAAAUAAGUCCUGUUAGAUAAGGACUGGACAACUGAAUUCAUGUGAGUGAUGUGCAGAGUAACCCCAGAUCUUGGUGUUGCUGUCUGAGCAGAGUGGAAAGCGUGGUGGUCUCAGGAUGCUCCCAGUUGUUGUCCACACUGCUAGAAACAGCACUGGUCAGGGCACUGUCCUUCGCUGGAUUGACCACAGCCACAGCACAUAAGCACACUGGUGCAGCACUUUCUGAUGGAGUCCGGGCCGGCCCAGGGACAGCGUAGUCACAGCCUCGCUGUCCCACGAAGGCCGAAGCCUGCUUGUCUGGUUUAUCCUGAAUCUGCGGAGGCUACUGAAUCUCAGAGGACUUGUAAUGUUUCGUUUCGUUUAUGCAAAGAGGCCCAGUUUCUUUUCGGUUUCUGCUUUAUGGGCGGCAUUGCUGAACCAUAGACGUUGGAAACGGACUCGAAGCGGGAUCGCGCUCGGCGGCGACCCGGGUGGCCGGCAGUGGAGUGUCACGGUCUGGGGGGGGAGAGAGCCGGAUGGCAGGAGCGCUGUUUUUGUUCGGGAGUGUUAUGAGCAGUUCUUAAGGGUGCUUUUCGGGUUUUUGGGAAAAUGUUGCCCAACCAUCUGAUCGGCUCUUGUUUUUAGAUUUUCCAUUUCCACCGUGUUAGUUCUACAAAAUGUGCAAAUCGGGAAGCCAGUAUCGACAGGCCACUUGAUCUCUUCCGUUUUGUUUGUCACAUGGCAGUUCCUCGCGACGCAACCGAAGGGUUUUUGGGAGGAAUGGAGAGGCAGGAGGCGGCUGUUUCCUAUCGCGAUCGUUUUUUUUUUUCACAAAAAGAGAGAAAACAAAAUCACCCGAAUGUGGCAUUUGAAAAAGGCAGUUAAUUUGUUUUUUUAAUUCUGUGCUUUUGCGUGGCCGAGCGUGGUGGGAAUCUCUGUGGAGAGAGGAGCAGGCCCGAUUUGGAAACCUCUUUCCUUCCUUGCUGUUCAAGAUGCUGCAUUUUUAUGUGGGAGGUACUGUUGUGUUACAUCCUCUGUUGUCUGGAUCAGGUGAACAGGGGGACCUGGGCUCUGUGACCUUCUUUUACAUUUUCAUUUAUUAAAUUAAUGGGUAGUUACUGUAAUUCUCCUGAUAUAUAUAUAAAUUAUAUAUAUAGAUGAUCGAGUUAGGCUUCGGGAAGGUACAGUUGUUUAUCAUCUGAUUCUCUGCAAGGGGUCAGUGCCUUCUUCGUUAGACUUGUAAGAUUUUCAUCCGGCUUUUGUAUUUUGUUUUGGGGAAGCAGGGCGGCUGUACAAGAUCCGGGGCUCCUGUGAGAUGGGGGGGCAGGUUCAGUGUGGUUUAAGUAGGAAUGGGGGCACCUGGAGUCUUUAGAGACACACGUCUCCCCCUUCCACUGAAACCCAGCGCUUGACAGAUCAGUUCGGAACAAACUGGACGCCUCUUAAGGACGCUUCAGCCUGAUCGAGCAGUAGUAAUGACCCCAGAAUUCCUCUGUGUCCCCACCUGGUGCCCCAUCAACACUGUGCACCUUGACGCACCCCGUUUCCCCGCAGUCGGCCUGUCGAGGUGCAAGCUCCUGUUCGCCGCUCCGGUGCGGAGCCAGAGCUGUGCUCCAGCGGUACGGCGAUGGCGGCGAACAUGUCCGCGUUGCUGCCAGGCGCGUUUCUGUCUUUCGACGUCCCGCUGCCGUGAGUCUUCUCCCUGAUCGAGACCCAGUCCUGUUCUGUAAAAAACCACCUGCCUGCAGAGAGCCUGUUCCUUGUACAUCGCUCCUGUUUGAACACCUGCAGGAGGGAGGGAGUUAGUUAGUUAGUUAGUUAAGCCUGGGGGGUCUUGUCUGGCACUACCCCACGUGCCUUUGUGUACACUCAGGUAAUGCAGCUGUGACAGCAACUGGGACCCCAGUGUAUGGUUUGGACUGACAAGUGACAAAAGGUGCAUUGGCUACAGUGCUCACAUAGUUUCACUCUGAAACGGUGGCCCUUUAAUUGGUUUCUCAGUCUUUCCAGGGAUGGAGCAGGUUAAGGACUGAGUUGCACUUUUCGGUUUAGUAAAUGAUCUUGCUGGUGAGCCCCAGAGGGGUUCGGGCCCGCGGAGCUGGAGGAGAAGGGGGUGCUUGUUUUCGGCCUGUGCCGGACUGACGGCAGGCUCCAGGCAGGGCAGCGGUCAGCUGAGUGCUCAGGCGUGCUGGGGAGGUCAGGGGUUGUGAUGGUGGCUUUUCCAGAACAUCAUGAGCACAAGACGCCACAAGCGUAACACCCUGCAGAAUUAGCUCAGGAAGCAGAUUCUCCCAGAGUAUAGUCUUCCUCGCCAGCAGGUUCCCCAGUACAGCAGUGUGCAAGGCGUGUAUAAGGACCCGUUUGCUGGCACUCUUCAAGCUGUGAAAGUCUUUCUUGCUUCCGUCACGGGCACCAGGGUUGUCUCUGCCUGUUGCAUCCGAUUCAUUUUCGGGAAAGGAUCUGGAAAAACCGGAUCUGAAGGCUCCGUUCAAAUCCAGGCCUAUUCAGUGCGCAACAGGCUGUGAGCUCCAGAACUAGGGCUCUUAUAGACACAGCAAUAUCUCAGGCUAGUUCAUAGAAGUCAGCUCCAACAGCAAACUACCCACCUGCUGUCGUUUUAUUUUUGGCUCUGUUACUGGAUUUAGCCAGCUGUCACCUGUAAGGGCUUCAUAAUUCUGUCCUCCUGGCGGCUAGACAGUGCCUGGGGGAAGAGUCAUUUCUAAUCCUGUGUUUUUAGGCUGUGAAUUAAUCAACAGCAAACAGCAAUCUAAAGCAGAUACAGCACAAUGCAGAAGUGUCUUGGGCCCAGAUGGCUCUGGGGUGUGCAGUGUAGUAGUUCAGUGGGAUUGGCUUGGCUCCCAUCUCCAGGGACUUGCCUGCGCUAGGUGGAUAUCACCAACUUCUCGGCCGAGGGCUGCUACAGCCACUGGCACAGAGUCCCCCCAGAGCUCCCUACACUACUGUCAGAACAGGAACAGACCUGGGGAGAGGACCGUUCAGUCUCGGCUGUUGUGUUCCGGUUUUAUUCCACAAGAUUGUUGGAGUGUUCUCCUCUGGUGAAAAGGUGUGGUCGGUGGAGCCAGUACUGGAGGGUAACGGAGAGAUUGCAGUGUUUCAGUCUUGUCUUGUCUGGGGGUGCUGUCUGUUUUGGGGAGUCCUGCCUUUGGAAGACGGGCUGGCGACUACAGGAUGUUUGUUUUGUUCUUGCUUUGCAAGCUGAGCGGCAGUCUGCAGGGACUGUUUGCUCUAGAGCUCCCCCCUGUGCUUUGUGGGUCGGGGCUGGGCCUCUGUUACAGUGUGGCACGCGAGAAUGAACAUGAGCAAAGUGCAUGGAGUGUGGUCCUCCUCACCUGCAGGGGGCGCUGGCCAGGACAGUGCACGUUUGGAGAGGGAGGGAGGGAACUGUGGCAAAGUGAGGACUCUCGGAGCAGGGUCUUGUCUGCGUGGAUAGGAAGAGUUUCUUUACAUGUUUUCAGACUCAUUGUUUAUCUAUUCUUAAUGUUAGCAUUCUUUUUAUUAUUUUAAGACCAGGAAGAGAGGUCUAAAAGACAGCAGUUGUCUUUACCUCCAGCAUGCAGAGCUAACGUUAUGUGUGUCAACAGCCGGUCAGAUCGAUCUGACUUUAGCUUGAAGGGUAGUCUCAGUGAUGAAGCAAUACAGACAGACAACACUGGGCGCUGCCGUAAGCUGCUUGUAAAGAUUGUGGUGCUCUUUCAGAAAAAGAACAUUUCCAACAGUGUCAGAGUCUUUGGAGUCAGCUGUUGGAGUCUUUGGAGUCAGCUGGAGAAGUUACAGAUGAAGCAGACCCCAACCCUUAAAGAGCAAUUUUCUGUUCUUUACACUGACCAGCAGCCCAGCACUAGUUCUGAGCUGAGCACUGUGCAGUUUUUCCUAAGAUGCAAAAUCUACAUUUUAUUUUAAACAUAGUAAUGAAACUAUUUUUGUAGUGUAGAGUGGACAUGCAUCAAUAUGUCUGACCAGAGAAACUUGAAAUUGUUCUAUAUUUAAUGCCAGGUUAAGUAUUCGAGUUCUUCUCCUAUAUGACACUGCGAGUUGGUGGGUUCUCUUCAUGGUUUUAAUUGGAUAGACUGUCCUGCCCCACCCCAGCCUCACCUGUCAGGUCGAAAGUAAAUCCUUUUUUUAAAGUAUUUUCAGAUGCUCAUCAUUGCCAGAGAGGCGCUGUGUUUUCUAGGUGAUCGUUGCCAUUUCUUGAUCUUCGGGCAGAUCAGGUGGGAGGAGUUGGAUCCCACACGGCAUCUAAGUCUGUUACAAAUGCUGCAGCGAUGUUUGAACUGAAAAGCUCUUGCGGUGCUCACUGAUCACGGUGACAUUUAAAGGAAGUGAAACUCGUGCUGAAAAACUGUUUUUGUCGAGAUUCGAUCUUUGCCGUUGUUUUUGUUUUGUUUUAAAUUUCAGAAAAAGCCACUGACCCACGUGAUAAGUAUGAAUUGUUUUUAGGGGAAUAUAGGGCGACAGAGGGGGUGAAUAUGACAGGUUUUAUUUUUUUCCACCCUGGGGCUUGUUUUAGCCUUUCCUCAUGCAGGGAAAGGCAGUUACUGUUCUUAAUGAAAAAUAGAAACCAGUCUUGUAUGUAUAUUUAUACAGACAUGAAUUUAUACACAUUGUAUUUUCUUAAAAAGUUGCCAAUUUUCACAAUGUUGUUGCAAUGAUGACAGAGGGAGCAUUAUUUUUUCUGCAUGUUGUACAGGAUGAUAUAUGUAAAUAAAGAAAAAAAAUGACUAUUUUAAAAAAAA